rnacentral:rRNA from 1 species
AGUGAACGCUGGCGGCGUGCCUAAUACAUGCAAGUCGAACGGAGUGGCGCACGGGUGAGUAAUCUAUAGCUAAUCUGCCCCUUGCUGGAGGACAACAGUUAGAAAUGACUGCUAAUACUCCAUAGCAAGGGAUGAGACUAUAUCGUAUCAGCUAGUCGGUGGGGUAACGGCCUACCGAGGCUAUGACGCGUAACUGGUCUGAGAGGAUGAUCAGUCUCAUUGGAACUGAGACACGGUCCAAAGUCCUAGGGGAGGCAGCAGAAGUGAGUUAUGCGCAAUGGGGGAAACCCUGAGGCAGCAGCGCCGCGUGGAGGAUGACAGUUUGCGGAGCGUAGACACCUUUUGUUAGGGAAGCGGUACCUAACGAAUAAGCACCGGCUAACUCCGUGCCAGCCGCCGCGGUAAUAC